UACGGGGGGAGCAAGCGUUGUUCGGAUUUACUGGGCGUAAAGAGCGCGCAGGCGGUCGUGCAAGUCGCGUGUGAAAGCCCCCGGCUCAACUGGGGAGGGUCACGCGAUACUGCUCGACUUGAAGGCAGGAGAGGGAAGUGGAAUUCCCGGUGUAGUGGUGAAAUGCGUAGAUAUCGGGAGGAACACCAGUGGCGAAGGCGACUUCCUGGCCUGUUCUUGACGCUGAGGCGCGAAAGCUAGGGUAGCAAACGGGG
rnacentral:rRNA from 1 species